rnacentral:rRNA from 1 species
GCCGGAAUUGCUAGUAAUGGCAGGUCAGCAUACUGCCGUGAAUACGUUCCCGGGCCUUGUACACACCGCCCGUCACACCAUGAGAGUUGGGAAUACCCGAAGCCUGUGAGCUAACGUUAAGAGGCAGCAGUCGAAGGUAGAAUCAAUGAUUGGGGUGAAGUCGUAACAAGGUACC